rnacentral:rRNA from 1 species
GACUCUCGGCAACGGAUAUCUCGGCUCUCGCAUCGAUGAAGAACGUAGCAAAAUGCGAUACCUGGUGUGAAUUGCAGAAUCCCGCGAACCAUCGAGUUUUUGAACGCAAGUUGUGCCCGAGGCCUUCCGGCCGAGGGCACGUCUGCCUGGGCGUCA